rnacentral:rRNA from 1 species
AGUGAACGCUGGCGGUAGGCCUAACACAUGCAAGUCGAACGGCAGCACAGUAAGAGCUUGCUCUUACGGGUGGCGAGUGGCGGACGGGUGAGGAAUACAUCGGAAUCUACUUUUUCGUGGGGGUUAACGUAGGGAAACUUAAGCUAAUACCGCAUACGACCUACGGGUGAAAGCAGGGGAUCUUCGGACCUUGCGCGAUUGAAUGAGCCGAUGUCGGAUUAGCUAGUUGGCGGGGUAAAGGCCCAGCAAGGCGGCGAUCCGUAGCUGGUCUGAGAGGAUGGUCGGCCGCACUAGAACUGGAACACGGUCCAGGCUCCUACGGGAGGCAGCAGUGGGGAAUAUUGGACAAUGGGCGCAAGCCUGAUCCAGCCAUACCGCGUGGGUGAAGAAGGCCUUCGGGUUGUAAAGCCCUUUUGUUGGGAAAGAAAAGCAGCAGGUUAAGACCCCGCUGUUCUGACGGUACCCAAAGAAUAAGCACCGGCUAACUUCGUG